rnacentral:rRNA from 2 species
UAAGUGGCGAACGGGUGAGUAAUACGUGAGUAACCUACCUUUAACUCUGGGAUAAGCCUGGGAAACUGGGUCUAAUACCGGAUACGACCAAUCUCCGCAUGGGGUGUUGGUGGAAAGCGUUAUGUAGUGGUUAUAGAUGGGCUCACGGCCUAUUCAGCUUGUUGGUGAAGUAACGGCUCACCAAGGCGACGACGGGUAGCCGGCCUGAGAAGGUGACCGGCCACACUGGGACUGAGACACGGCCCAGACUCCUACGGGAGGCAGCAGUGGGGAAUAUUGCACAAUGGGCGCAAGCCUGAUGCAGCGACGCCGCGUGAGGGAUGACGGCCUUCGGGUUGUAAACCUCUGUUAGCAGGGAAGAAGAGAGAUGACGGUACCUGCAGAGAAAGCGCCGGCUAACUACGUGCCAGCAGCCGCGGUAAUACGUAGGGCGCAAGCGUUGUCCGGAAUUAUUGGGCGUAAAGAGCUUGUAGGCGGUUUGUCGCGUCUGCUGUGAAAGGCCGGAGCUUAACUCCGUGUAUUGCAGUGGGUACGGGCAGACUAGAGUGCAGUAGGGGAGACUGGAAUUCCUGGUGUAGCGGUGGAAUGCGCAGAUAUCAGGAGGAACACCGAUGGCGAAGGCAGGUCUCUGGGCUGUAACUGACGCUGAGAAGCGAAAGCAUGGGGAGCGAACAGGAUUAGAUACCCUGGUAGUCCAUGCCGUAAACGUUGGGCACUAGGUGUGGGGAACAUUCCACGUUUUCCGCGCCGUAGCUAACGCAUUAAGUGCCCCGCCUGGGGAGUACGGCCGCAAGGCUAAAACUCAAAGAAAUUGACGGGGGCCCGCACAAGCGGCGGAGCAUGCGGAUUAAUUCGAUGCAACGCGAAGAACCUUACCAAGGCUUGACAUAUACUGGAUCGCAUCAGAGAUGGUGUUUCCCUUCGGGGCUGGUAUACAGGUGGUGCAUGGUUGUCGUCAGCUCGUGUCGUGAGAAUGUUGGGUUAAGUCCCCCAACCAGCGCAACCCUCCUUCUAUGUUGCCAGCACGUUAUGGUGGGGACUCAUAGGAAACUGCCGGGGUCAACUCGGAAGAAACGUGGGGAUGACGUCAAAUCAGCAU